rnacentral:rRNA from 1 species
CUGGAAGGGGUGUAUUUAUUASAUAAAAAUCAACACUGUUGGUGAAUCAUGAUAACUUCUCGGAUCSCAUGGCCUCGUGCUGGCGAUACUUCAUUCAAAUAUCUGCCCUAUCAACUGUCGAUGGWMGGAUAGAGGCCUACCAUGGUUGCAACGGGUAACGGGGAAUAAGGGUUCGAUUCCGGAGAGGGAGCCUGAGAAACGGCUACCACAUCCAAGGAAGGCAGCAGGCGCGCAAAUUACCCAAUCCCGACACGGGGAGGUAGUGACAAUAKGUAACAAUAUACGGCUUUAUCGUCGUAUAAUUGGAAUGAGUACAAUUUAAAUCCCUUAACGAGGAACAAUUGGAGGGCAAGUCUGGUGCCAGCAGCCGCGGUAAUUCCAGCUCCAAUAGCGUAUAUUAAAGUUGUUGCAGUUAAAAAGCUCGUAGUUGGACCUUGGGCCUGGACGGGCGGUCCGCCUCACGGCGUGUACUGUCUUGCCGGGCCUUUCCUCUUGGUGAUCUGUUGUUUCGGCAGCAGGGAACCAGGACCUUUACUUUGAAAAAAUUAGAGUGUUCAAAGCAGGCUCGACGCCGGA